CAUGUCUAAGUACAGGCCUAAGUAAGGCGAAACCGCGAAUGGCUCAUUAAAUCAGUUAUGGUUCAUUGGAUCUUACCCUUUCUUACUUGGAUAACUGUGGUAAUUCUAGAGCUAAUACAUGCCAACCAGUAGCUCCGACACACUCCCGUGUGGAAGAGCGCUUUUAUUAGAUCAAAACCAGUCCUCCCUCGGGAGGUCAAACCCCUUCGUGGUGACUCUGAAUAACUUUUAGCUGAGCGCACGGUCUCCGCGCCGGCGCCGCAUCUUUCAAGUGUCUGCCUUAUCAGCUUUCGAUUGUAGGUUAUGCGCCUACAAUGGCUAUAACGGGUAACGGGGAAUCAGGGUUCGAUUCCGGAGAGGGAGCCUGAGAAACGG
rnacentral:rRNA from 1 species